GAUGAACGCUGGCGGCGUGCUUAAUACAUGCAAGUCGAACGAACAGGCGCUGCGCUUGCUCCUCGCUCGUUAGCGGAGGACGUGAGAGACACACGUGGAUCACCUACCUAUCAGACGGGUAAAACUUGGAGACUCGGGAGCAUAUACCGGAUAAUAUAUUGCACCACAGUGUUCAAUAGUAAAAUACGGCUUUGCUGUCACUUAUAGAUGGUUCCGCGCCGCAUUAGCUAGUUGGUAAGGUAAAGGCUUACGAAGGCAACGAUGCGUAGCCGACCUGAGAGGGUGAUCGGCCACACUGGAACUGAGACACGGUCCAGACUCCUACGGGAGGCAGCAGUAGGGAAUCGUCCGCAAUGGGCGAAAGCCUGACGGAGCAACGCCGCGUGAGUGAUGAAGGUCUUCGGAUCGUAAAACUCUGUUAUUAGGGAAGAACAAAUGUGUAAGUAGCUAUGCACGUCUUGACGGUACCUAAUCAGAAAGCCACGGCUAACUACGUG
rnacentral:rRNA from 1 species